rnacentral:tRNA from 1 species
GCGGCGGGGACGCGGCGGGCGCGCUGUCGCUCUGGACGGCGGGGCUGGUGUUCGUGCCGUCGCUCGCCGUCCC